GACAGAGGGUGCAAACGUUGUUCGGAUUUACUGGGAGUAAAGCGCGUGUAGGCGGCUUGGCAAGUCGGAUGUGAAAGCCCACGGCUCAACCGUGGAAGCGCAUCCGAAACGGCCUCGCUCGAGUCUCGGAGAGGAAGGUGGAAUGCUUGGUGUAGAGGUGAAAUUCGUAGAUAUCAAGCAGAACACCUGCGGCGAAGGCGGCCUUCUGGACGAUGACUGACGCUGAGACGCGAAAGCGUGGGGAGCAAACAGG
rnacentral:rRNA from 1 species